rnacentral:piRNA from 1 species
UGGAGAUGUCUAGUGGCAGAGUGAUGU